GGCGCGCCGGGUGAGAGGCCUGCUAUUGCAUAAUGCCGCGCGUGAAUAAACCCAUGCCGGACUUGCCCCUCAUCCGAUCUCGUUAUAGCGAUCCGGCCUCUCCCCGCAGGGCGGGGAGAUGUCUGGGAGGAAGGCCGUUCCGAACCGUGCUACAUGGUCCGGCAUGACCCCGAACUCCCCAGCCGCCGCCGGACACCGGUGGCGGGCCAUGUCGAUCGCUGAUCUGCCCCUGGUCAACAAGCUGGCCGCCCGCAUUCAUCCGGACUACCCGGAGGAUGACGCGGUCUUUGCCGAACGGCUGCGGCUCUAUCCGCAAGG
rnacentral:misc_RNA from 1 species